CAUAGACUGAGCGAAUUUAUUUCCUCACGCGAGUUGCUGUUAAUGUAUACUAGAAGUAGUUUUUCAUCUCUAAAGCAUGGAUUGAAUUUUAAAAAAAGAAUGUUUUAAAGUGGGGAUUCAAAAUUGUUGCCAGGAAAAUGGGCCAAUUUAUUUCCUUGAAACAGUGAGUUGCUGUUUAAAGCAUUUUUUAAAUUGAAAGAAAAAAAGAAGAUUGUUUUAAAGUGGGGAUUCGAAAUUGUUACCAAGAAGAUCUCCUUCCAAAAAUCAAAAAAAAGAAGAAAAUUAUUUGAAAAUUUCCCAACAUGAUAUAAAAAGGAUCAUACUGAAGCAGAUGAAAAAAAAGUUACUCGGAGGAUCAGAUGGGGUCAAUAUGGAUUCAAGCUUCAAAUAACCAUUAUAACCCAUGAACUUCCAAGCUAAAUGAAAAUUUACUUAUAAUUUUUAAUGAUUAAUAAAUCUAAAUAAUUUGUGAUGGCGCUGACAAAAAAAAGGUCGCGAUUUUAGCUUUGGCCAGCUACUUAAUGAAAUAUUCCUUUAAUUCCAGCGAUAAUGAGCUCGAUCCCUGUAGGAACCACGAUAGUUAUAAGGAUUGUAAGGUUUGAGUGUUGGAGAAGGCGUUACUGUUGUAAUAACCGGAGAGAUAUUACAUUGGCAUAUAGGGCAACCAUUAGCAUCUAACUCUUUACCAUUUAUACAAAAUAACAUUGGACAAACAUCAAUGCAAGAAGUCGUUACUGUUGUAGUAGGUGGAGCGGCUUCGUUUAUAAAGAAAAAGAUAAAGACAAAAUCAUAAAAUUGUUUACAACGGCUUUGGAUUGAUAGAAUGGUGAAUACGAAAAAUAGUGCAAGAGCAAAGGUA